rnacentral:rRNA from 1 species
GACGAACGCUGGCGGCGUGCUUAACACAUGCAAGUCGAACGGAAAGGCCCUGCUUUUGUUGGGUGCUCGAGUGGCGAACGGGUGAGUAACACGUGAGUAACCUGCCCUUGACUUUGGGAUAACUUCAGGAAACUGGGGCUAAUACCGGAUAGGAGCUCCUGCUGCAUGGUGGGGGUUGGAAAGUUUCGGCGGUUGGGGAUGGACUCGCGGCUUAUCCGCUUGUUGGUGGGGUAGUGGCUUACCAAGGCUUUGAAGGGUAGCCGGCCUGAGAGGGUGACCGGGCACAUUGGGACUGAGAUACGGCCCAGACUCCUACGGGAGGCAGCGGUGGGGAAUAUUGCACAAUGGGCGGAAGCCUGAUGCAGCAACGCCGCGUGCGGGAUGACGGCCUUCGGGUUGUAAACCGCUUUCGCCGGUGACGAAGCGUGAGUGACGGUAAUGGGUAAAGAAGCACCGGCUAACUACGUG